GCUCUGCAUGAAUUACGUACCAGUGGGAGAAUUCAAAUACUCCCAACUUCCACUUGCGUUUAAAUGGUUUUAAGAUUUUUACAGCAAAGUUUAAGCACAAUAUCAAAACCUGUUCAGAAAUCACUUAAAAUAUAAUAAACCACUCCAGAAACCAUGCGCAAUAAACAAGAGAGACCAAAGCAUAGGAAGCGAAGCUGGCUGCUUGGCACUUGGCAGCGGCGGCGGCUGCUGUCACCGGCGUCCCGACGCAAUGCCUUCUGCGCCCGCCCGCCAUCGAAUCCACGCGCCUAGACUUCGCUUCUUCAGGGUUAUCCCAUGCGCCGCCGCUCGGUGGCUGCGCACAACGCCAAGCUUCCUCGCCAGAGUACACUGCUCGCUCGGCUCCAUCGGCUCCGGCCACCAUCCCGACGGCCCCUGGAAAUUCUCGUGCAUGACAAUUGCAAGGAGGUGGCGCACGAGGUGCUCGACGCUUUGCCUGCAAGGAGCACCGAGUGUUCCCUGCCUAUCUCGCUGCCCUACUGGCUUUCUCAUGUGCAGUAUUCUCUGUUCUUUCUCAUACAUCAGCGCAAAGACAUGAUCGCUACAGUUAUUUCUUCUCCACAUCAGGCAUCACUGAUGUAUUUCUGACCCUUUAAAGCAAUUUGUUUGAGGCAGGCUCAACAAACUUAAUUUCGAUUCCUUAGGGGCAUGGAGCUUGCAUUCUGCUGGAUCUAUGCUUUCGUGGUGGUUGGGCCGGCGUUCAAGCUCUCGAGGUACCGUUCGAUGAUGUCGAGGCCACAGAGCUCCUUGACGACAGGCAUCGUCGCUGGCACAUCCAUCCGGAAUGUGACGGUGGAGUUCGUGGGGCCGGUGCAUACCGAGAACUCUUUCCUGGCAGCCCUGAUGGCCUCCCUCAUCGCGCAGUGCACCGAGGACGCGAGAAGGAGCGGUGGCUCGCCCGAUGCUGGCUGACAAGGUCUGCAAGAAUGUUCAUGGGGAUGAAAAAUUAUGAGAAGAGGUUCACCUUUCGAAGAGAGGACACGCUUCUUGUCGCGGGCGCUGUUGAUGAGCUCGACAUUGAACUGCUUCGGGAUGGUGUCAACUGUGGGGAUCUUGUACGUCCAUGUGCUGUCGUGAAUGACCAUGCCGUCGGAGUUCGUCAUGUACUCCUCGUUUGUGAAGAAGCCCACUCCUUGGAUGAAUGCGCCUUCUACCUGAGUGAAUCAAGGGCAGUGUUCAGAGCAGCACAUUUCCAUUGGCGACGUUUCUGCAUGAGCAGCUUUUAUUUGGCGCUAACCUGGCCAAGAUCUACUGCUGGGUUCAGGCUCUGCCCACAGUCAUACAUGAUGUCGCUCCGUAGGAUUGUGGUUGCUCCUGUCAGGACAUCAAUCUCAACCUGUGACGAAAUUUCCAAUCAUGUGUCAGCAUUGAGCAAGAAUGUAGCUGCAGCCUCCAAUGGCUUUGGCUUCUUGAUUGCAUUUGCAGUGCUUUAUUGCAAUUGGGAGCAGGAAUACCUCACUGAUGCCAACUCCGUAGUUCAAGUAACUUUUGAACGUUGGAUCAGGGGUCCAGUAUGCAUGCGCUGAUAAGUUCACACUCGCCAUACUUGCCUGCAAAUGACGAACAAAUGCCAUGAACAAUUGACACAGUCAAAUAGUGAGUUGCUCACACUUAAUAAUUGCUACUGCUACCAAUUGCAGUAUAUCGAUGAUGGAAAGGAGGGAAGCAGAAGAUUCAAAUUACUGUAAUUCCUUGGCAUCUUUUGCAAUCAGGUUAACAGGAAUUCUACCGUUGUUUUCAUAAGGUUUAUACUCACCUGAGCAACCAAGGCACUCCAUUCCACUGUACCAGUCUUAGCCUCCAGACUCUCCUUUAUGGGAUUCAGUCUUUCAACAAGUUCAAUGCACGAUUGUCGAACAG